rnacentral:tRNA from 1 species
GCCCGGGGCCUAACGGUUAAAGCACUGGCUUCCUAAGCCAGGGAUCGUGGGUUUAAGUCUCAUCUAGGGUG